CGUCCUUGACAGAGCAAACAGAGCCAAAUGCUUGUGCGCCGACACAACCCCCACUAUCACUACUCUAUUUUCUUGAACCUGAAGGGUUCGUAUUUUUUGUGCACCUACGCAUCCCCUCGACCGGAAACUACCACUUCAAUGCGAAUUAUUGACCACUUUUUCAGGACAUUUCUCACUCAUUCUUUUCUACUUUUUAUCAUCACUCUGUACUACAUACAUACACAAGUUAAUUCGCGUAUAUUUAAAUGUGGUAUAUGGUUUUAGGGGCGUCCUCUGACUUAGUCUGUACUUCUCGUCGUGGGAGAAGAGUAAUUAAACGUGCUGGAGCAGAGAGAACUUCCCAGAACAGAGAUAGCGAGACUUUUGUUUUUUUUUGCAGAGAGAGUAAACGAGAGAGACCGAGGAGAUGGGGUUUUAGGAUGGACAAAGCGAUGAUGAUGCUUUCUUCAGAGGAACAUGGUCAAGUCUCUGGAAGGAUUCUCCUGUGUAUUGAGAGAUGCUGACGCUGAGGGAUUAGCUGCAAUUCAAUUGGCAACUCCACUUUUUUUAUUCUUUGUAUUUUUCUGCAGUUGAGGGAAUACACCGGCGAACAGUACAAUUACAGUCACUUGCGUGGGCAGAGGUGGAUCUAAUUGGAAAAAUUGUGUUCGAGGAAAAAUGGAAAUAAUAUAUACAGGGGAUAUCCAUUCAAUUGACAGAUGCAGAUAUGUACGUCUCAUUCAUUCCAGUGAUGCGUCUCUCUCACUCUGGCAUCAUUAAUAUCGAUUCGCGUCUCGUGGAAUCAAAAAUAGCGUUUCUAUCUAUCACCGAGGAGGGAAGACCAAUCUCGCACUCCAAUUGGUCAGCACCAUUGUGCUUGGCCGAUCGACCUGUGACCCCUUGUACGCGAGUUCCACUAAAAAUGGAAUUGAAGUGAAAAAUUUGCAACAAAAAAUUGAAAACGCAGGGCAAUUGUAAUGCACUGGAGUUGGUGUAAAUUGAAGGUGAUGCUGGACUACACCACGAACUUGAAAGUCAAACAGAGUUAUACAAUCGUUAUCUGUCAGACGCAUGGUAAUUUCAUAUUUAAUUCGUUAUCACACGAAUUUACGUGAUUUAAUACUCAGUGAUUCAUGGAAUACGGAAAAUAAAUUCAAUGAAUUCCCAAUGAGUUUUCUCAUUAUAAAUUUGUCAAUUGGAGAACGAAGAGUGAUAGGGAUAUAAAUGUAAUGAGCGGUGAGUAGCGUUCGCCAUUUUGUCGCCGCUGAGGUCAACUGCGAAAUGGAUGCUGCGGACGAUCCGCAAAAGUUUGACGUGGAAUUCCUCGGUGCAAUUUGACUUUAACGUUGACCCUGCUUCGGAUAUAUACGACUCCAGUCACUGGGUAAGACGUAGAAGUGCCCUUGCCAGUCUCGGGUGCUUCCCUAUCUGCUUCCACGUCCUAUCCUAACUGCGCACUACAGAACUUCAGACUCAAGGGCGAGGGAAAGAGAAAGAGAGAACCAGAGAGAGUGCACCAGUGAUAAAGGCAAGGAGAUUAAGGGAGAGAGAGAUUGAAAGAGAAAAGUGAAGAAGGUUUUAUGUUCGGAGGGAGAGGGCAGUGAGAGGAUGAAUAGAAAGAGGCACUUGGGGCCGGAUAUGGGGUUUUGGAGUUAAAUGGUGUGCGGUGUUGAGGUUUGAAGUUUUCUUCUGACGGCCCUGCCGCCUAAAGUCACAAGGACUGCAGUGAAUGAAGUUGAAGUGGAAAGAGACGGUUCACUGGGUGAAUUCCACGGGGCGAUUGGCGCGACGUCUUCAGGGAAGAGGAAAGGUAAAGCCGAUUAGAGUGACACCGGAACCCGGUGGUGGAGAUGACGGAAGUGUGUGACAGCGGGAGUUUUUGAAUAAAUUCGGAGAAAUGAAAAUGUCGGAGAUUGUUUCGGAAAAUAUUCCAGGGCGUGUUUAUUUGUUUUACACGUCAAAUGAUGAAAAUAGUGGAGGAAAAUAAUCAGAAUAUUACCUUGAUAAGGGAAGAUGCAACUAAUAUAUUUUUUUCAAUGAUUUACAUUGUCUCCACUCCAUCGUCAAUUCAAUACGACGUAUUAAUUUCUAUGUAUGAGUUUGUGAACAUUCUCUGUGCACCAUUUGUGGAGUGGUAAAUUAUU